rnacentral:misc_RNA from 1 species
GAUGAAGAACGUAGCGAAAUGCGAUAAGUAGUGUGAAUUGCAGAAUUCAGUGAAUCAUCGAAUCUUUGAACGCACAUUGCGCCCUUUGGUAUUCCAAAGGGCAUGCCUGUUCGAGCGUCAUUUGUACCCUCAAGCUUUGCUUGGUGUUGGGCGUCUUGUCUCUAGCUUUGCUGGAGACUCGCCUUAAAGUAAUUGGCAGCCGGCCUACUGGUUUCGGAGCGCAGCACAAGUCGCACUCUCCAUCAGCAAAGGUCUAGCAUCCAUUAAGCCUUUUUUUCAACUUUUGACCUCGGAUCAGGUAGGGAUACCCGCUGAACUUAAGCAUAUCAAUAAGCGGAGGA